rnacentral:misc_RNA from 1 species
UGAAGAGAGCUCCGCUUUUGAUUCCCAUUUUCAACCAUUGUUACAUUCCUUGUCACCCUUCUUUAGCUGGUAACCCCAUCUUUUUCGUCGAUGAGAAUCAGAUCUUCUGUUGCGGUUUGGAUCUAUCUGAUUUUUUCGACCGUGAGUCCCUCUUCCGGUGCUCCGAGUCUGACCCCAUACUUCUAAAGAAGCAAAGAUCCGUUAGCGAGAAAUCGGCCGGUUCUUCAACAAAUUAUCCACGUAGAAGCUUGGAUAUGGGCACAGCUAACGGAGCGAGAACCCCCAGAUGGGUGGAGUUCUGGAGCGACGCAGCAGUUGACCGUCGGAGGCGAAACUCGGCGUCUUCAUCAUCAGAUUCAUCGUCGCCGGAGCGGUUUUUCGAUAUGCCGAGAUCGGAGAUGCCAAAAUGGGUGGAUGAGUACAUAGUGCAAAUCGGGUCAGUUUUGAGAGAUGGCGGUUGGAGCGAAGCUGACAUAGCCGAGAUCGUCCACGUGUCAGCAUCCGGUUUCUUCGAGGGGGAGAUGGUUAUGUUGGAUAAUCAAGCAGUCCUAGACGCUUUACUCUUGAAAGCGGAUCGGUUCUCCGACUCCCUCCGAAAGGCUGGGUGGAGCUCCGAAGAAGUUUCGGACGCAUUAGGGUUUGAUUUUCGACCGGAAAAGGAAAGGAAACCGGCUAAAAAAUUGUCACCUGUGCUGGUUGAGAAAAUCGGGAAAUUGGCUGAGUCGGUUUCUCGGUCAUAAAGUCGGCAUCGAGAUUCUUUUUUUAUUUUUUUUUUCCCAUAUUAAAGCCUCGGGGGUUUGGGUUUCCCUUUUUAAAUACUGAAAAUUGAAAAUACACGGGGAAACGCGUUGUACGAUGAAACAAAGAGUAUAAAAAGACUUUA